GACGAACGCUGGCGGCGUGCUUAACACAUGCAAGUCGAGCGGAGCGGCGAACGGGUGAGUAACGCGUUCGUAACUGCCCCCCUCCCUGGGAUCACAGUUGGAAACGGCUGUUAAUACCGGAUAGUGGGGGGUGACUCGCGUCCUAUAAGCUUGUGGGUGGGGUAGUGGCCUACCAAGGCGACGAAGGGUAGCCGGCCUGAGAGUGCGACCGGCCACAUUGCGCUGGGGUACGGCCCAAACUCCUACGGGAGGCAGAAGUGGGAAAUAUUGUACAAUGGGGGAAACCCGGAUGCAGCAACGCCGCGGGCGGGAUGACGGCCUUCGGGUUGUAAACCGCUUUCAGCCAUGACGCGGUAGUGGCAGAAGAAGCACCGGCUAACUACGUGCCAGCAGCCGCGGUAAUUC
rnacentral:rRNA from 1 species